AACUUUUAACGGUGGAUCUCUUGGCUUGCGCAUCGAUGAAGAACGCGGCAAACUGCGAUAAGUGGUGUGAACUGCACACGUGAAUCAUCGAGUCUUUGAACGCAUCUUGCGGUCUUGGCGCCUUUUUAGCAAGAUUGCCAGGACCAUGCCUGUUUGAGUAUCA